rnacentral:lncRNA from 1 species
GUCUGACUGAUAAUAUAUCCAUGAGAUAUGAACUGGAAUUCCUGUCCUCUGCAUUGAUGGCCCCACCUUUCAGGGUGAAAAAUACCAAAACCAAAAGAGAAAAAGAAAACAGAAUAGAGUAAAGAGAUAACAACAACAGAAGAAAAACAAUGACAAAUCAUUAGAGACAUAUGAAGAAGGAUACCAAAGAAUGCAUCUGCCUUCAGCAAUUUGUUCAUGUCUAUUUCCUCAGUAUCUCUGCAAUCUCAACACUCCUAUGCCUUGAAUAUCAAUUUUGUGUGUGUCAUCAGCAGCUUCAUGUACACUCUUUUGUGUCCCAUUACACUCUUUUUG